rnacentral:rRNA from 1 species
GAUGAAUGCUGGCGGCGUGCCUAACACAUGCAAGUCGAGCGGCAGCGCGGGGUGCUUGCACCCUGUCGGCGAGCGGCGAACGGCUGAGUAACGCGUAGGAAUUUGCCCCAAAGUGAGGAAUAACUGCCCGAAAGGGUAGCUAAUGCCGCAUAUGGUCUUCGGAUUAAAGGAUUUAUCCGCUUUGGGAGAAGCCUGCGUUGGAUUAGGUUGUUGGUAGGGUAAUGGCCUACCAAGCCGACGACCCAUAGCUGGUCUGAGAGGAUGAUCAGCCAGACUGGAACUGAGACACGGUCCAGACUCCUACGGGAGGCAGCAGUGAGGAAUCUUCCACAAUGGGCGAAAGCCUGAUGGAGCAACGCCGCGUGAAGGAUGAAGGCCUUCGGGUUGUAAACUUCUUUUAUGAGUGAAGAAUAUGACGGUAACUCAUGAAUAAGCACCGGCUAACUACGUG